AGCUUCCNGGAUCACUGAGAUUGGAAGUGCGGCCUGCCCGGUGAUUAAUUUUUAAACGGCUGCAGUAUCCUGACUGUACUAAGGUAGCAUAAUCAUUUGGCCCCUAAUUAGGGUCUGGUAUGAAAGGUUUUUUGAGGCCCAGCUGUCUCGAGCUUAGCAACUAAAUUUAACUUGGGGGNGCAGAGGCCCCUCUUAAGAAAAAAGACGAGAAGACCCCAGAGAGCUUCAAGCAGCUCAAAAGUUAACUGUUUCGAACUACUUUUUGGUUGGGGCGACCAGGGAGCAUUCAGAGCCUCCCCGAUUUUUUAAAAAAUAUUGGAACCCAGAUAACUGGGAUAUCAAACUAGAAGCUACCUUGGGGAUAACAGCAUAAUACUUUCUAAGAGACCUCAUCUACGCAAGUGCUUAUGACCUCGAUGUUGGACUAAGGUUGCCUUACCGUGCAGCAGCGGUAAAAGGCCAGUCUGUUCGACUGUUAAACCCUUAC
rnacentral:rRNA from 1 species